UUUGGCCAAGUUCGAAGCGGGAAACAAGGGAGCUUGCUCCCGGAUGUUAGCGGCGGACGGGUGAGUAGCACGUGGGUAACCUGCCUGUAAGACUGGGAUAACUCCGGGAAACCGGAGCUAAUACCGGAUAGUUCCUUGAACCGCAUGGUUCAAGGAUGAAAGACGGUUUCGGCUGUCACUUACAGAUGGACCCGCGGCGCAUUAGCUAGUUGGUGAGGUAACGGCUCACCAAGGCGACGAUGCGUAGCCGACCUGAGAGGGUGAUCGGCCACACUGGGACUGAGACACGGCCCAAACUCCUACGGGAGGCAGCAGUAGGGAAUCUUCCGCAAUGGACGAAAGUCUGACGGAGCAACGCCGCGUGAGUGAUGAAGGUUUUCGGAUCGUAAAGCUCUGUUGUUAGGGAAGAACAAGUGCAAGAGUAACUGCUUGCACCUUGACGGUACCUAACCAGAAAGCCACGGCUAACUACGUGCCAGCAGCCGCGGUAAUACGUAUGUGGCAAGCGUUGUCCGGAAUUAUUGGGCGUAAAGGGCUCGCAGGCGGUAUCUUAAGUCUGAUGUGAAAGCCCCCGGCUCAACCGGUGAGGGUCAUUGGAAACUGGGGAAAC
rnacentral:rRNA from 1 species